rnacentral:snRNA from 1 species
GCACUCUGGUGUCUCCUCAUUUGUGGAUAAAUCUUUCGCCUUUUACUAAAGAUUUCCGUGGGGAGGCACAAUACAAUGAGUCUUAUCUCAAUUUUUUCAACUGUCUUCGGACAGA